rnacentral:rRNA from 1 species
UACGUAGGGUGCAAGCGUUAAUCGGAAUUACUGGGCGUAAAGAGUGCGUAGGCGGCUAUGUAAGACAGAUGUGAAAUCCCUGGGCUUAACCUAGGAACUGCAUUUGUGACUGCAUGGCUAGAGUGUGGUAGAGGGAGAUGGAAUUCCGCGUGUAGCAGUGAAAUGCGUAGAUAUGCGGAGGAACACCGAUGGCGAAGGCAAUCCCCUGGACCUGUACUGACGCUCAUGCACGAAAGCGUGGGGAGCAAACAGG